GGGGAAUAUUGCACAAUGGGCGCAAGCCUGAUGCAGCCAUGCCGCGUGUAUGAAGAAGGCCUUCGGGUUGUAAAGUACUUUCAGCGAGGAGGAAGGCAUUGUGGUUAAUAACCGCAGUGAUUGACGUUACUCGCAGAAGAAGCACCGGCUAACUCCGUGCCAGCAGCCGCGGUAAUACGGAGGGUGCAAGCGUUAAUCGGAAUUACUGGGCGUAAAGCGCACGCAGGCGGUCUGUCAAGUCGGAUGUGAAAUCCCCGGGCUCAACCUGGGAACUGCAUCCGAAACUGGCAGGCUAGAGUCUUGUAGAGGGGGGUAGAAUUCCAGGUGUAGCGGUGAAAUGCGUAGAGAUCUGGAGGAAUACCGGUGGCGAAGGCGCCUUUCUGGACUGUAACUGACACUGAGGCUCGAAAGCGUGGGGAGCAAAC
rnacentral:rRNA from 1 species